rnacentral:lncRNA from 1 species
GCUUUUCUUCAUCUGUUUGUCAAUGGAGAAAUGAUAAACUGAGAGCCGAAGCUGAAAUUGUGCACGAGAUGAACAGAAAAUUGCAGUAAAGCAUUGAAGGCACUGCGGAUGAUGCUGCCAGGGGAGAGGAAGGGCUCCUUGGAUGUUGUCUGACUUGUGCCUGGGGAAUCUUGUGGUCAAGAGAGAAGGCUCCUUUGGAGGUUAAGCAAAGGAAGAUUGCUGCUUUCCCAGAGCGUUUCAGUAAAGGAUGGGCAAUGGAACUCCAGUAGAGAGAGUUCCAUGGAGUAGAACCCUGGAACCCUGAGGACUGACAGGAUGUCUCCUCCAGUUCUAGGAGAACUGGCCUUACGGGACUCUGAAACCAUGGCUUCAGUUCAUUACUAGGGAGAUAUUGUUAAGACUGGCACCUCUGAGUCAUCAGUAUCCAACUUAGGGAGGCUGAAUUCCUCUACUCUCUUGUGUCCUGAUAUAAUUUAUUUUAAAAAGCAUUCAUGUUAGCAUAUUGCCAAUAAAAAUAGCAAAUGAUUGCAUUAAUUAAGUUGGGUGCGUUUGUGAUAGAUAGGUUUGUUUGCUCCAUGCUUAUUUCCCUGCUCUUACUCCUGCCUGCUAUACUUCAACUGCUGGGUCCUCAUGUUUAGUAAUGAGACCCUCAUCAGGAAGGAACCUCCUUCCAUAGGCGAACAGUUAGGAGCCUGCCUGGUGCCAAGCACUGCUGUGGGACAAUCCUUCUUGUACCUAGACUGUGAGACAUUAGAGUUCCUGGUUCUAUGAAAAGGAGAACAUUUGCAGGGGGUUGGGGGGAGGCAUCUACAUUUAUCCAUUAAGUAUAACAUCUCUCUGGAAGCAUUCAAACCAUACACUAUGUCUUCUAUCCAUUUAAAAAUAACUUUCCCAAAACCCAGCAAAAAAAAAUGGGCAUGUAGACUAUGUUUUUUUUUUAAGCAUGUAGACCGUGUUUUUCUGAUUAUGGCUUGUGUUUGCUAAAUACAAAACUAUCUUUUAAAGACAUUAAAAUGUGGAAAAGUCUUUUAUAUUUACCCACAUGGUUACCAUUUCCCGUGCCCUUCAUUCCUUUCUGUAGAUCCACAUUUCCAUCUGUUAUCAUUUUCCUUCUGCUUGAAGAACUUUCUUUAACAUGUAUUGUAUGGAAUGUUCCCCAAUUUUUGCUGUCUGAAAAAGACUUCAUUUCACCUUUAUUUUUGAAAAGUAUUUUUGCUGAGUAAAGCAUUCUAGAUGAGGUGGGUUUUUUCUCCCUUGCAUUAUUUUAGUGGAGAUUUUUCCAAUGUAUUCUGGGCUGCAUGGUUUUUGACCAGAAGUGUGUCAUCAUUCUUAUCUUUAUUCCUCUUAUUUCUUUUUGUUCUCUAGCAGUUAUUGAGGUUUCUUUUUAUUACUACUUUUCAGCAACUUAUAAUGAUGUGACUUGAUGUAGUUUUCUUCGAUACAUUUUGCUUUGGUUUCUUUGAGUUUUUUGCACCUGUGGGCUUAUAAUUUUCGUCAAAUUUGGAAAAAUUCCAGCAUUUUUUCCUUCAAAUAUUUUUCUGCCCCUCCAUUCAUUCUGGAACUCCAAUUUCACGUAUGUUAGACUGCUGACAUUGUCUGAUAGUUCAUGGAGCAUCUUUCUUUUCAGUCUUUUCCCUCUCUGUGCUUUAUUUUGGAGAGUUUCUAUCGAUAUGGUUUCAAGUUCCCUGAUCCUUUUAGCUGCACUGCCUAAUAUGCUGUUAAUCCCAUCCCAUGUAUUCUUUUUUUUAUAGUGUUUUUUUUAAUUGGCACCUGAACUAACAUCUGUUGCCAGUUGUUUUUUCUUCUUCUUCUCCUCAAAGCCCCCUAAUACAUAGUUGUAUAUUCUAGUUGCAGGUCCCUCCCUCUGGUUGUGCUAUGUGGGACGCCGCCUCAGCAUGGCCUGACAAGUGGUACCAUGUCUGCACCCAUGAUCCAAACCAGUGAAACCCUGGGCAGCCAAAGUGGAGUGCAUGAACUUAACCACUCAGCCACAGGGCCAGCCCCUUCCAGUGUAUUUUUCAUUUCAUAUAUUUUUUCCCAUAUCUAGAAAUGACCUUUGGGUCUAUUUUAUAGCUUUCAUUUCUCUUCUUAUUAUGCUUAUGUUUUCCUUUACCUUUUUGAAAACAUGGAUCAUAUUUAUAAUAGCUCUUUUAAUGUCCUUCUCUGCUAGUUCCACAAUUACCAUAAUUUCGGGACAUAUUUCUAUUGAUUGAUCCCCACCAUUUAUUGGCCAUAUUAUCCUAACUUGUAAUCAUUUUUUUUAAUUGAAUGCUGGUCAUUGUGAGUUUUAAAGUAUUGAUUGCUGUAUUUUAUUGUAUUCCUUUAGAGAUGGUGUUGGUUUUUUUCCUGGCUUAAGUUUAAGUUAAUAGAAUCAGUUAGAUCCUCUCAAGGUGUUUAAGUUUGGUUAAGAUAAGUCCAGGGAAGGCUUUAGUCCAGGGCCAAUUGAGCCUCAUUGCUAAAGCCGUAUCAUUUAGGAUUAUACCCAAUGUUUGGUCCUGUGUGGGCUCUAAGAAAUGUUCUGCCUACUCCUUUUCAGUGAUUCUUUCUCUGGCUUCAGAUAGUUUCUUCCUAUGCAUACACAGAUCAGACAAAGACUUGGGGAGACCUCUCUGCAGAUCUCCGGGUAUCUUUCUCUGUAGUUCCCGCCUCUCUCUUUCAUUGCCCACAAAUUCUAGCUGUUCUGAGUUCUCUGAACUCUGAUCUCUGUCUCCUCAACUCAGCAAGGUUUCUGGGCUCUGUAUGAGUUCCUUCUUUUUGUUCUGUGUCCUGUAAACUGACUCUAGGCAGUAAAUUGAUGCAGUUGUAGGGCUAACCUUGUUUGUUUCCCUUUUCUCAGGGAUCAUUGUCCUGUGCUGCCUGUUUCACAUGUCUGAAAACUGUUUCUCAUAUAUUCUGUCCAUUUCCUUGUUGUCCUAGAUGGGAACAUAUAUUGGCCCUGACCUUUCACCUUGGCCAGAGCAAAAGAUCUUUAUUCAUUCUUAAAGUUACUGUGGACAAUAAAGAUUCUGAUAUGUUUACUUUACUGACUCAGUUUUAGCCCCAAGUUUUCUUUCUUUUUUGGGGGGGGGGGGGAAGAUUAGCCCUGAGCUAACAUCUGCCACCAAUCCUCCUCUUUCUGCUGAAGAAGAGUGGCCCUGAACUAACAUCUGUGCUCAUCUUCCUCUAUUUUAUAUGUGGGAUGCCUGCCACAGCAUGGCUUGGUAAGUGGUGCAUAGGUCCACAGCCAGGAUCUGACCUGGUGAACCCUGUGCCACCGAAACGUUGUGCGCAAACUUAACUGCUAUGCCACUAGGCCAGCCCCCCCAACUUUUAUUUCAAGCCACACCUACCAACUACCCAGUCAGAAAUUGCUGCUGCUCUUUAUGUAAAUUUCCAGAAAUUCCUUGAUGCUUUGUUACAACUGAAGGAUACAGGAGUUGUCUCCAAGCAAAUUAAGUAUUACCCUGAACCAGAAACAAUCAAAGCUGCCUAUAAAGACUGUUGUGUGACAAUUACAAUGUUCCACUUGUUUUUUUCUGUUAGCCCAAAGAAGAGGCUGUGGAUACCAGUAGAUUUCCCUUUCAGAAAUCUACUAACUGCCAGCCUUAUCUAGGAGCCUCUCAAGAAACGUGCACAGUUACAGACUGGGUUGUACAUGCUGGCCAGCGGGUCUCAGGGCUUCUUUCCAGAGAACAGCCAAAAUGACUACCCCAGGGGGCCUGCCCCACAAGACUGCUAGAGGAGGAAACAAAUCAUUUUCAGAAUUUCUAUCAACAAUCUUUUCCUUGUAACAUUUUUGGUUCAGCCUCAGUAUUGUAUUCAUGUCAUUUUGUUUUGCUUUCUAUUUUUAUUUCUUAUUUCCGGAGCACUUUGCACUGUUGUGGUGACUCAAAUCAAAAAGGAAAAGAAAAAAGGUGUUUUUUUCCUCCUCUCUAUCAUUUUUAUAUCUUAAUCACUUGAUUAAAACUCACCAGCUGAAGAGGAAGUUGCAAUGAACUUUAUUUUUUCUCCAUUAGUUGUAAGCUUCCCUGCCUGAUAUCCAGAUAUAUUUAUUAUUUUGUACAGUGAGGUAUUUCAUUGCAAACCAGAAAUAAAUAUAAAUCCUGUUAGAUGAAAAUCUUUUCUGAAUCAUCACAACUCAGCUGUUUAAAGGGAAUUUCUUGAUUUUUCUACAAUGAUACAAUUCUGUUAAAAAUAAUUCUUGCCGUGUAUUAUGUUUUUGAAAUAUUUUAAUG